CUCCACCACGCGUGCGAGGAAGCACAGUUGAACUCGAGCAAGAGGAAGUCGCUGUCGCUGGCCGCUGGGGGAGUAGAUGACGUCGCCGUCGGAGCAACCACUGUCGGAGAAGACUUCAAUCUCGCCGCCGGUGGCGGCAACACCGCGAGAAGAUGUGGUCAACGCCGGUUAGGCCUUGAGCUCGCCGGCGGCAGCGGCGCCACGACAAGGAACAACUGUUUUGAAAGAGGACCCGAGCUCGGCGGCGGCGUCAAUGAACACCGCGAAAGCUGCAAUCUUGGAGGUCGGAAUCGGACAGGCUCCUUCGUCCUGGAACGACUUAUACAGAGAACCAAACGAGGACGCGCCAUCCAACUCCGGAUCCGAUUAGAUGCAGUUCUUGCAAUCUUCUUAAAGACACAGAAGUGAUAAUCUCUACCUGUUAUUUCAGUCCUGUAGACAAUGUUGUGCUGAAGAUAUUUCUGUUAACCCAGAACACCAAUCUCUCUAGGAACAUGAAGGUAAACGCCUUUUGCUAAUGCCUUUUGCUUCAGUGUCUACUGUCACUGUUUGAGUAUAGAACAAAAUGAUUGACAUUUAAAACCACCAUACCAUGUUCAUCUGUGU
rnacentral:lncRNA from 1 species